GGCCAUGGCCUUCCAACUCGGAUCGUCCGGCACGUUCCUGCCGGUUGAAAGGGUGUAUC
rfam:Actinospica robiniae DSM 44927 genomic scaffold ActroDRAFT_ARA.1, whole genome shotgun sequence.